rnacentral:rRNA from 1 species
CGGACGGGUUGGUAACGCGUGAGGAACUACCUACAGGACUGGGACAACAACUGGAAACGGUUGCUAAAACCGGAUGUGCCGAGAGGUGAAAUAUUUUAUAGCCUGUAGAUGUGCUCGCGUCUGAUUAGCUAGUUGGUGGGGUAAAGGCCUACCAAGGCGACGAUCAGUAGCUGGUCUGAGAGGAUGAUCAGCCACACUGGGACUGAGACACGGCCCAGACUCCUACGGGAGGCAGCAGUGGGGAAUUUUCCGCAAUGGGCGCAAGCCUGACGGAGCAAUACCGCGUGAGGGAGGAAGGCUCUUGGGUCGUAAACCUCUUUUCUCUGGGAAGAAUAACUGACGGUACCAGAGGAAUCAGCAUCGGCUAACUCCGUGCCAGCAGCCGCGGUAAUACGGGGGAUGCAAGCGUUAUCCGGAAUUAUUGGGCGUAAAGCGUCCGCAGGUGGCUAAUCAAGUCUGUUGUCAAAGCGCGGAGCUCAACUCCGUACAGGCGAUGGAAACUGGUUGGCUAGAGUUAGGUAGGGGUAAGAGGAAUUCCCAGUGUAGCGGUGAAAUGCGUAGAUAUUGGGAAGAACACCGGCGGCGAAAGCGUCUUACUGGGCCUAAACUGACACUGAGGGACGAAAGCUAGGGGAGCGAAAGGGAUUAGAUACCCCUGUAGUCCUAGC